rnacentral:lncRNA from 1 species
CGUGGUGUAUUUGCCCAGCUGGCACAGCGCAGGGAACGUCUCCUGGUGCGCUUUGCGGACCUUCUCGAUCAGCUCCUCCACCUCGGGGGUGACGAUGUAACUCUCCGAGCACUCCGUCUUCGGCACGUCCUUCUUCUUCUUAUUGCGGUCGUUGCGGACGGACUCCUUGGACAUCCCGACCUCGAAGCACUUCUGCAGGCGGCAGUACUGGCAGCGGUUGCGCGUCACCUUGUUGAUGAUGCAGUUCUUGUCCCGGUGGCACGUGUACACCAUGUUCUUCUGGAUGCUGCGGCGGAAGAAGCCCUUGCAGCCCUCGCAGGCGCUGACCCCAUAGUGGUACCCCGAGGAUUUGUCCUGGCAGACGAAGCACGGCUUGUAGAUGCGCGGCAGUGGCGGCGGGGAGGGCGGGCUGGGCACGAUCUCCUCUGAGCUGGUGCUCUGCGUCUC